rnacentral:misc_RNA from 1 species
GAUGAAGAACGCAGCGAAAUGCGAUAAGUAAUGUGAAUUGCAGAAUUCAGUGAAUCAUCGAAUCUUUGAACGCACCUUGCGCUCCUUGGUAUUCCGAGGAGCAUGCCUGUUUGAGUGUCAUGAAAUUCUCAACCUUUUCAGCUUUCUUUGUUGAUCAGGCUUGGAUGUGGGAGUAUGCGGGCUUCUCAGAAGUCGGCUCUCCUGAAAUGCAUUAGCGGGACCUUUGUUGCCUGGCUUUGGUGUGAUAAUUAUCUACGCCAUUGUAGUCAAGCAGCUUAAAAUGAGGUUUCAGCUUCUAACCGUCUCCCCUGAGACAACUUUUUGACAAUUUGACCUCAAAUCAGGUAGGACUUCCCGCUGAACUUAAGCAUAUCAAUAAGCGGAGGA